UACGUAGGGUGCAAGCGUUGUCCGGAAUCAUUGGGCGUAAAGAGCGUGUAGGCGGCCCGAUAAGUCCGCUGUGAAAGUCCAGGGCUCAACCCUGGAAUGCCGGUGGAUACUGUCGGGCUCGAGUUCGGAAGAGGUGAGUGGAAUUCCUGGUGUAGCGGUGAAAUGCGUAGAGAUCGGGAAGAACAUCGGUGGCGAAAGCGCUCUACUGGACCACAACUGACACUCAGGGACGAAAGCUAGGGGAGCGAAUGGG
rnacentral:rRNA from 1 species